AGAGGUUUCAUGAGGCCCUAGCUAAAGCACUCACAGUGCCACCCUGUCAGAUUCCAACAAAUCUGCAAAUUCUGCU
rnacentral:ribozyme from 1 species